CCACAAGAUAUGUACAAAUACAGAGCUUUCCAUGUUCCAACCUAUUUUCUCUUUUCAGAGUUUUUCCCCCCAAAGAAGUGUGUGAGGAGUUAGGCUUUUUUUGCCGCAAACAUCGAACGCUUGAAAUUUGGCAACCAUGCCAGCCGCUGGAGGUUGACCGAUUUGCGUGUCAAAAAGGUGUUUUCUUCUUCUUCGCCUUCUUUUAUUAUGUUUUUUUUUCUUGUGAUAAUACAAGAUACCGUUGUGUUUGGAGGUGUGAUAUCUGCGUGAGUGCUGUUGCUUUUAAUUUUUGCUCCAAACAAUCAUUUUCGGUAGCAUUUUCGGCGGCGUUAUGCUUUUGUUGGUUAAUAUCUGUUUAUGUUUCAAGAGAAAUAACAACCAAGAUUAACAUUUACCAGAGCAUCUCUAUCUGUAAUUGUUAGUUUAGCAAUAAUUUAUUAUGAGUUUUAAUUUGGCAACGUUUGAUUGAAGUCUUUUCUUACCGACGAGAUGAUGAAAAUCUGUUCAAAAUUCUCAAAAGAACAUCCAUGAGAAUAUCAUUUUCCCAUGAAUUUCACUUUCAUUAAUCGUCAGCCAAAAUUUACGUCAAUAUGUAUUGGUGAGAUCGAACCAUAGAGCUAUCUAAAUGUAACCUCACUUUUUUUCGUGUACGUACACGCAAACAUGCGCACGUAGAUAACUCUAUUGAGUCUACAUUUUAUCUCACGCGAGAGAGAGCUCUUUCGAUUUUCUCUCUCAGUGAAUCUCUUUAAUGAAGACUCUUCUAACGAUGGUGCGUGCACAAGGUAUAUUGACAUAUGUAAGGCAGGGAAUUUCAGAAAAGUGAAAAUUUGACAAUUUUGUGGAUUGAAAAACGCUUUAAGAAGCAUUAUUUUUUUUUUGAAAAAACAAAUCCGCUCAAAAAGUGGUUUUGAUCCAGGUUGGCCACAGAAAAGAAAAUCUGUCUUAAUUUGUCUGGAAUAUAAAUAUAAAAUCCCCUUUUUGGGAAAACUACUUUUUGACAGCUGGAAAACCUGCCUCAAUCAAAAUAAACAAUACCUCCGCCAUUUUCGAAAAUUAACAACAAACUUAGGCAACUUCUGACAUUUCAUCUUGUGAUCGUGAGAAUAAAUUUUGUCUCGCGCGAGAGGGAAGAGAAAAACUGGUCUCUUCGAUUUUCUUUCACAGUGAGUGCUCAACGAGUCUCUAUCAAGCGGGUGCUACACUUAUUGUCAACUACAAACAAAUAAGCCUAAAAUGCAUUGUGUCUAGACGUCAAAAUAUCUAGAGUGACAUUUAAAAAGGGCGUGCUAUCGAAUUGUGUAAGAUGAAGAUUUAAAAUAAUUUAAAUUCAAAUUGGCGUAAAACAUAAUUUGACGUUCCAUCUGUGUAUGUAUUGGUGAGAUCGAUUUUUCUCGAAAAUCUCGAAACUAUUUUUUUCACCAUAUCUCACAAAAGAUAGAAGAGGUGCUCGUUCUCUUUUGGGUUUUGCUCUUGGUUUGCUACACCCUCAGUAAACGUAAAACUUAUACAAAUGAGAACAAUUGCUCAGCGAAACUUAUUGGAAUUUUCAAAAUGUUUCUUUUCAUGAAAAGAACUUUUUUAAAUAACUCUUUUAAAAUUUUCAUUUGUUUCAAUCUGAAAAAAAAAAUCAUAAAAUUUCCCCCAUUUCAGAUAACCAACCGAUCCCACGAGCACUCGCUGCCGCCACCAAGAAAAAUGCUACCGCCGAUUCGUGUGUUUUUGCUCCGUACUAAUUUCUUCCACAAAGCCACUAACCGCUAAAUCUCACCACGUUUCUUAUGUUUUGUGUUUUCAUUAUCAUUUUUUGUUAUGUUUGCUCGGUAACAUUCUAAUAACGUCAACAUUAUCACAGUAUUAUUAUUUUUUCCUUUAAUAUUUUUUUUGUUAGGUUUCCUUUAAUUUCUUACUGAAACAUUUUUUUUGCUGUGUUUUUUUUGUUACUGCUUUAAUAUUUCUGUUUCUUUUUGCCGUUCCCAUCCCCCGAUGACCCAGAGCGAGUUCGACUA